rnacentral:rRNA from 1 species
GUUUUGAUCAUGGCUCAGAUUGAACGCUGGCGGGAUGCUUUACAUGCAAGUCGAACGACAGCACAGACUUCGGUCUGGUGGCGAGUGGCGAACGGGUGAGUAUGUAUCGGAACGUGCCUAGUAGCGGGGGAUAACUGCGCGAAAGCGUAGCUAAUACCGCAUACGCCCUUCGGGGAAAGCAGGGGACCUUCGGGCCUCGCACUAUUAGAGCGGCCGAUAUCGGUUAGCUAGUUGGUGGGGUAACGGCUCACCAAGGCGACGAUCGUAGCUGGUUUGAGAAGACGACCAGCCACACUGGGACUGAGACAGCCCCAGACUCCUACGGGAAGCGGCAGUGAAAUUUUGGACAAUGGGGAAACCCUGAUCCAGCCAUCCCGCGUGUGCGAUGAAGGCCUUCGGGUUGUAGCCCACUUUUGGCAGGAAGAAACGGCCUGGGAUAAUACCCCGUGCAACUGACGGUACCUGCAGAAUAAGCACCGGCUAACUACGUGCCCUUCGUACUGAUAUACGUAAGUGCAAGCGUUAAUCGGAAUUGCUGGGCGUAAAGCGUGCGCAGGCGGUUCGGAAGAAGAUGUGAAAUCCCAGAGCUUAACUUUGGAACUGCAUUUUUAACUACCGAGCUGAAGUGUAUGGGGAAGUGGAAUUCCGCGUGUAGCAAGUGAAAUGCGUAGAUAUGCGGAGGAACACCGAUAGCGAAGGCGGCCUCCUGGGAUAACACUGACGCUCAUACUGGCAAUGGGGAGCAAACGGGAUUAGAUACCCUGGUAGUCCACGCCCUAAACGAUGUCAACUAGCUGUUGGGGCCUUCGGGCCUUGUUGGCGCAGCUAACGCGUAAGUUGACCGCCUGGGGGAGAGUACGGUCGCAAGAUUAAAACUCAAGGAAUUGGUGGGGACCACACAAGCGGUGGAUGAUGUGGAUUAAUUCGAUGCAACGCGAAAAACCUUACCUACCCUUGACGUGGAAUCCCGAAGAGAUUUGGGAUUGCUCGCAAGAGAACCGGAACACAGGUGCUGCAUGGCUGUCGUCAGCUCGUGUCGUGAGAUGUUGGGUUAAGUCCCGCAACAGGCACAACCCUUGUCAUUAGUUGCUGCGAAGGGCUCUAUUGAGACUACCGGUGACAAACCGGAAGGUGGGGAUGACGUCGAGUCCUCCUUGUGUUACCCUUAUGGGUGGGGCUUCACACGUCAUACAAUGGUCGGGACAGAGGGUCGCCAACCGCGAGAGGCAAUCCCAGAAACCCGAUCGUAAGUCCGGAUCGCAGUCUGCAACUCGACUGCGUGAAGUCGGAAUCGCUAGCAAUAAUCGCAGAUCAGCAUGUCGCAGUGAAUACGUUCCCGAUUGGCAUACACACCGCCCGUCACACCAUAGAAUUAGGUUUUGCAGAAGUAGUUAGCCUAACCGCAAGGCGAUUACCACGGUAGGAUUCAUGGCUAG